GAGUGAUUCUUGUUAGGGGAAGAUGCAUAGCAAAGGAUGGUCCACCUAUUAAUUUACUCUUUUUAUGUUGGAGUACGUCAGGUUUACUAUUAUUGUCUAGUUGUGUAAGCUCGAGUUACGG
rnacentral:rRNA from 1 species